UGUAGUUACCAAGGUGCCUAUUUCAUAAAAUUUGUAGGAAUGUUAAUACCUUGACUACAUGGAGUCACACUUAUUGAGAGAGGCUUUGUGAUCAUAUAAAACUUAAGAGAGCAUAAGAAGAAUCAGUUUUCUUGGAUAUUUGCAGCGCUGCCUGUACCAGAAAGGAGUGGCAGAACUGGAGUAGAGGAAAAAUGCGUGUCCACAGAUCACAGGCAGAAAAAAUAAUUUUGCCAUGUGAAGGACAACUCCUGAAAUGGAAGCUGAUUUGGAGAAUACAUCUAACAGAGGCAAUGGACCUUCAGCUUGGAAACCUGGAUGAGCCCAAGUGAAGAUGUGUGGUACAUGGCUGGUGGGAGCUGCAGCAGGAGUGCCAGGAUUGCUCUCCCAAGCAGGAGCUGAAGCACUACAGCAGGGAUGGGAACAGCAUCAGCUGAAUCCAGAUUCUUCUGUGCUUCACAAAGUUAUGUGCCCAUUCUGCAUUUCUCCAGCUUCAGAAAGGUGGCAACUUUUAUGGUUCUUCAUGUCCUGUAAAGC